rnacentral:rRNA from 1 species
AUACGGAGGGUGCGAGCGUUGUUCGGAAUUAUUGGGCGUAAAGAGCAUGUAGGCGGUCUGUUAAGUCUGGUGUGAAAGCCCGGGGCUCAACCCCGGAAGUGCAUUGGAUACUGGCAGACUUGAGUAUGGGAGAGGAAAGCGGAAUUCCGAGUGUAGGAGUGAAAUCCGUAGAUAUUCGGAGGAACACCAGUGGCGAAGGCGGCUUUCUGGACCAAUACCGACGCUGAGGUACGAAAGCGUGGGUAGCAAACGGGAUUAGAUACCCUAGUAGUCC